UCCCUCCCGUGCGAUGGAAGCGGUGUAGUCGGACGCGACGUCCUCCGCAGCCGUGCCCACCGCUUGCUAGUUGCUGGGGGCGACCGCGAGGCCAUACGCAUGCGCCGACGCUUGGGUUUUGGGAGUGCGAUGGUGGGGGUGCAUACUUGGCUCCCGAGACCUCCGGAAUCGGACGCGCGAAGAAAUUGGGAGCUGGCUUGGGCAGCUGUUGGAGUUCGGGAAAGUUGAUUCCGUCGGGGGUUUCCUUCUUCUCUCCUCACAGUUCUUCCCCAAUCGCAGAACCCUAGCCAUGGACGCCGCCGGGUCCGCCGCCGACGUGGCCUUGGCGUCGGCGGAUGAGGGAUAUGGUGCUUCUGGUUCGCGGAGCGCAGGGGUAGGCGAGAAGGGAGGAUAUGUGGACGCGAUGGUGGUAGCGUCACUUCGGAUGACCAGGGCGUCGUCCGCGGACGUGAUCCGGCGCCAUGGCUUGCGGAUGGCUCAGCAUUUGCUAGAAUUCAGGAAGAAGGAACUUAGCAGAACUCAAACUUCUGAAUUAAUGGAUGGCAUUCGUUUCUGUAUGUACCCCCCC